rnacentral:lncRNA from 12 species
CUGCAUUAUUGUGUUUGGUCCCUGUACCUGCCAUUGUUUAUGGAAAGGACAAAUUCAAAUUUGAUGUCAUCAUUCCCUUUUGCCUCCUGUAGGCAAAAUGGAAGUACAGUAUAUAAACUGUAAAAUAUACAGGCACCAUAUUGUUAUCCUGCAACACAUAAAAACUGUCACUGUAUUGUUGGUUUGAUAAACUUGAUCAAUUCCAGUAAUACUUGCACUGUUCGUACGUAUACCUCACCGGCAUGUUUCAAUUUCUUUUAGCUUCUGGAAAAAUUCAGCACACUGAAAUAUUUUGAUUCUCUGAUUAUCAACAGUUACAGGAGCGGCAGCGUGAUUGUAGAUUAUACGGUGCAGUUAAUGAGUUCAGUUACAUUUGAUGAGUUGAAUAAUUUUAUCCAAACACUGCCUAAUACUGUUCUGGUAACAACAGGUAACUUAUUUACUUAUUGUGAAUUAUUUCUUUAUUAUUUACAAUACACCGCACUUAUAAUAUUAUGUGAUAAAGACAGGUUUAUUGCAUAAUCAUACCUUGUAAUUUUCUCCAAAGGCCUCAUCCCUAUUAACGGUCCUCAGAAGGCAAUUGAUAUCGGCUCCUCUGUAAGUAUAACUUGUAAUCGACCAAUAAAGCUAAAGGUAAAGUGGUUCUUAAUAGAUGGGCAGAACAAAACAACAGAGAUCACAAAUGGAAAAGAGGCCACCUUGACUAACAACAGUUUGAUGGACAUUGUUAAUCUGCGUGACAUUUCAGGAAGCUGGAAAGGAAGAAUUCAGUGUGUGUACACAAACGGGUCCAUACAACACACAGCAAGUACAAAGUUGGACAUAGCACUUCUGCCAGAAAUACAGGCCAGGAGCAUUCCCCAAUUUCCUGAUUGUAGAGAUAAACAACAAAAAACGAUUUUAAUUGAGUGUCGAAUUUCAAAUGACACAGAAAAUUACAAUGUUUCGUGGAAUAAUGAUUUAAACAAUUUAGAACGAGGUAUGCAUAUCUCAUUACCACUUUUGCUCUCUCAGUGCAUCUAUUCAUAUCUAUUAUGAGUCAUUAUUUUUACACACUUUUUUGUUGAACAAUCUUCCUAUUACUGCAUUCUCUAGAAAUCCAGGGGAAUAUUAUAAUUUACAAAGCAGAGAAAAGCAUACUUUGUGGAGAGGCAGACACUGAGACACUGAAUGUUUCAUGUAUAUUCAAAAACGACAGAGCCCAAACCAACAAAGUUAAAACCCAAUAUGUGGAGAUCCCCAUAAUUCUUCGUAAGUUUUGGUGUUGUUUAACAUUUUGACAAGUCUUGAGAAUUGUGAAGGACACCGUGGGCAAUCUUUCCCAUAUAAUGGGGUUUUCAAGCUCCAAAAUGACAAAAAAUGAGGAAUAAAUGACUCACACUACAUCUUUAUGAAUCCACACAACAACAAAAAGUCAUUAUUCACUGCUAAUCUUCCCCUCUGUCAAAGCUCUUAAUUGAAAUUAAGUGAAAAACACUUGACUACAAAAAUG